rnacentral:rRNA from 1 species
AGAGUUUGAUUCUGGCUCAGAACGAACGCUGGCGGCGUGGAUAAGACAUGCAAGUCGAACGGGAUAUUGUCUAUAGCAAUAUAGGCGAUGUCCAGUGGCGCAAGGGUGCAUAACACGUGGGCAAUCUACCGAGAAGUGGGGGAUAGCUCGCCGAAAGGCGAAUUAAUACCGCAUGUGGUUAGUGAGGACAUCCUCGCGAUACCAAAGCCGGGGCAACCUGGCGCUUCUUGAUGAGCCCGCGGCCUAUCAGCUAGUUGGUGAGGUAACGGCUCACCAAGGCUAUGACGGGUAGCUGGUCUGAGAGGACGACCAGCCACACUGGAACUGAGACACGGUCCAGACACCUACGGGUGGCAGCAGUCGAGAAUUUUUCUCAAUGGGCGAAAGCCUGAAGGAGCGACGCCGCGUGGAGGAUGACGGUCUUCGGAUUGUAAACUCCUGUCAUUAGGGAACAAAACUUACGGUUAACUGCCGUGGAGUCUGAUAGUACCUGAAGAGGAAGAGACGGCUAACUCUGUGCCAGCAGCCGCGGUAAUACAGAGGUCUCAAGCGUUGUUCGGAUUCAUUGGGCGUAAAGGGUGCGUAGGCGGUGGGGUAAGUCGGAUGUGAAAUCCCGGGGCUCAACCCCGGAACUGCAUUCGAUACUGCUCUGCUAGAGUACUGGAGAGGAGACUGGAAUUUACGGUGUAGCAGUGGAAUGCGUAGAUAUCGUAAGGAAGACCAGUGGCGAAGGCGAGUCUCUGGACAGUUACUGACGCUGAGGCACGAAGGCCAGGGGAGCAAACGGGAUUAGAUACCCCGGUAGUCCUGGCAGUAAACGGUGCAUGUUUGGUGUGGGAGGAUUCGACCCCUUCCGUGCCGGAGCUAACGCGUUAAACAUGCCGCCUGGGGAGUACGGUCGCAAGAUUAAAACUCAAAGAAAUUGACGGGGGCCCGCACAAGCGGUGGAGUAUGUGGCUUAAUUCGAUCCACGCGAAGAACCUUACCUGGCCUUGACAUGCAUCUCUAAGUCGGUGAAAGCCGGCGACUGUAGCAAUACAGAAUUUGCACAGGUGCUGCAUGGCUGUCGUCAGCUCGUGUCGUGAGAUGUUGGGUUAAGUCCCGCAACGAGCGCAACCCCUGUGAACUGUUACCACCGGCCUUCGGGCCGAGCACUCUGUUCAGACUGCCCUGUGAAACGGGGAGGAAGGUGGGGAUGACGUCAAGUCAGCAUGGCCCUUACGGCCAGGGCUGCACACGUACUACAAUGCUCAGCACAGAAUGAACCGAUACCGCGAGGUGGAGGAAAUCUCUAAAACUGAGCCCAAUUCGGAUUGAAGGCCGCAACUCGCCUUCAUGAAGCCGGAAUCGCUAGUAAUCGCGGAUCAGCUACGGCGCCGUGAAUACGUUCCCGGGCC